GGGCUGUGCACUCAGGAUACAUGUAUAAAGCAGACAAGGGAGCAUAUAGGAAUCUGUGGUAGCAAGCUGUCAUACCCUUCAUUAACCCCUGACUGUCUGUGACUGUGCUAUAAUUCCAUUAUCUGAUGACCUAGUCUAUGUGCUGCAGUCCAGAUCUCAGUUUCACCCCUCACAUUAGUGCAGGCAAGUUUUUUUUCAAUUGAGAUGAAUACAUUGUAAAAUCUCAGUUAAUGUCAACAACCUUUAUUACUUUGUGUAAUGUACUUUACAAUGUUCCUGACAUAUUUCAGCUUCCCGUUUUUUUUAUAUUAAAGGCAGAGUGAUUUAACACCUGUUUAGAUUUGUCAUCCAAGUCACAAAAUGAAAAGUAUGCCGUUUUCAAUAAACUUUGCAUAAAAUAGUUAA